rnacentral:rRNA from 1 species
GUGCCAGCAGCCGCGGUAAUACGUAGGGUGCGAGCGUUAAUCGGAAUUACUGGGCGUAAAGCGUGCGCAGGCGGUUCUGCAAGUCAGAUGUGAAAUCCCCGGGCUUAACCUGGGAACUGCGUUUGAAACUACGGAGCUAGAGUACGGCAGAGGGGGGUGGAAUUCCACGUGUAGCAGUGAAAUGCGUAGAUAUGUGGAGGAACACCGAUGGCGAAGGCAGCCCCCUGGGCCGAUACUGACGCUCAGGCACGAAAGCGUGGGGAGCAAACAGGAUUAGAUACCCUGGUAGUCC